UUGAACGCUGGCGGAAUGCUUUACACAUGCAAGUCGAGCGGCAGCGCGGGGGCAACCCUGGCGGCGAGCGGCGAACGGGUGAGUAACAUAUCGGAACGUACCCUAUCGUGGGGGAUAACACAGCGAAAGUUACGCUAAUACCGCAUAUGCCCUGAGGGGGAAAGGGGGGGAUCGCAAGACCUCUCGCUUUCGGAGUGGCCGAUAUCAGAUUAGCUAGUUGGUGAGGUAAAGGCUCACCAAGGCGACGAUCUGUAGCUGGUCUGAGAGGACGACCAGCCACACUGGGACUGAGACACGGCCCAGACUCCUACGGGAGGCAGCAGUGGGGAAUUUUGGACAAUGGGCGCAAGCCUGAUCCAGCCAUGCCGCGUGAGUGAAGAAGGCCUUCGGGUUGUAAAGCUCUUUCGGACAGAAAGAAAUCGCACUGGUUAAUACCUUGUGUGGAUGACGGUACUGUAAGAAGAAGCACCGGCUAACUACGU
rnacentral:rRNA from 1 species